UACGGGGGGGGCAAGCGUUGUUCGGAAUUACUGGGCGUAAAGGGCUCGUAGGUGGCCAACUAAGUCAUACGUGAAAUCCCUCGGCUUAACCGGGGAACUGCGUCUGAUACUGGAUGGCUUGAGAUUGGGAGAGGGAUGCGGAAUUCCAGGUGUAGCGGUGAAAUGCGUAGAUAUCUGGAGGAACACCGGUGGCGAAGGCGGCAUCCUGGACCGGUAUUGACGCUGAGGCGCGAAAGCCAGGGGAGCAAACGGG
rnacentral:rRNA from 1 species